GAUAGUGGGUGGGUCACUGAGAGUGAGAGAGGGAAACAAUGAGGAGGAGCGAAUAAGGGACUGUCACGCUGCUUUUCCGUUUCACAACUCAGAGAAGCUGGAGAGACAAGGGACGAUAAACCGGUUUUUAUCCGGACAGCCAUGGAAUGGGUCUCACUCCGUCGCUCAUCAGUCUGGGGAAAGAAGUUCGUGUUUUUGUUGCUUUUGCUUUUAGCUUUAAAUAAGGCUACAAGACCAGUGGAAUGUAAAUCCCUUUCCCAACAAUACAAACCCAUGGAACAGGCUCCCGUGCUUCCUGCCUCCUGCCGUCUGGCAUUCCUACCCUCAAAUAUUAAGAAGACCAUCCAGCAGGCUUUGCAGGAUGAGCAAGACUCAGGAAUGUGUCCCCCAAAUCGCUGUUUCGUGCCGGCAGUGGCCCGUUUCCCAGUGAUAAGGUGGGCUCGUACCUCCUGGUUCGCCUGGCACCUCGGAACAUGCCGCACCAUCGCAUUACUCAAGCAUCACUUCUGGUGGGUGACCUUGGAGCAGGAUCUGCGGGAGUACAUCUCUGCUUGGAAAGUCAACAAGACCCGAAACCAGUGACCCUCUGGAUGACCACUAGCCAUACCUUCUCACCCCUGCCUUCUCUUCUCAGUAUCACAUGGUAGGCUGGAGCCUACCAUGAUUGGAUACCAGGGGGGUGGUACUCUCAUUUCUGCCUGGAAUUUUCCUACCAUUCUACUGGAAUCUUCUGGGCAGGGCCAUCAUGCUCUGCUUGACAUCUCCACUCACUUGCAGCUGAUUUCAGGCUGUCAUUGGAGUGAUUUAAGCCUUUUAGCUGUUUAGUUCUUGUCACGUUAAAAGACUUGUGUUUAACUAAUAAACAUUGUAAAAAUUC